rnacentral:rRNA from 1 species
UGCCACAGCCAUAUCACUCUGCAGCCCAAGACUGGUUGCCCACUGAAGCUAAGCAGGGUUGAGCCUGGUCAGUACCUGGAUGGGAGACCUCCUGGGAAAAGUAGGUUGUUGUUGGAA